rnacentral:tRNA from 1 species
UUAGGGGUGUCAUAAUGUAAUGUGGGAGUUUUGAAAACUUUUUAUGUGGGUUCGAGUCCUGUUCUCUUUG